rnacentral:rRNA from 1 species
CAAUAGCGUAUAUUAAAGUUGUUGCGGUUAAAAAGCUCGUAGUUGGAUUUCUGCCGAGGACGACCGGUCCGCCCUCUGGGUGAGUAUCUGGCUCGGCCUGGGCAUCUUCUUGGAGAACGUAGCUGCACUUGACUGUGUGGUGCGGUAUCCAGGACUUUUACUUUGAGGAAAUUAGAGUGUUUCAAGCAGGCUUACGCCUUGAAUACAUUAGCAUGGAAUAAUAAGAUAGGACCUCGGUUCUAUUUUGUUGGUUUCUAGAGCUGAGGUAAUGAUUAAUAGGGAUAGUUGGGGGCAUUCGUAUUUAACUGUCAGAGGUGGAAUUCUUGGAUUUGUUAAAGACGAACUACUGCGAAAGCAUUUGCCAGGUAUGUGUNCAUUG